UUUUUUUUUCUCCUGGCUUACUCCCUGCAAUUUUGCCCAGGGUGAAUUUGCCAAUGUCGGUGUUGACUUUCACACGUGAGGAGAAUGUUCGGUAUAAUAAUUUUGUAUUUUUGGAAGGAUGUAGUUGGGAAACCCUAAAAACAAAUAAUUGUUAUGAACAUCACAGACAAACACAUGACGAAUACAAAAAUUAGCAAAAAAGCGGGAAGCGGGUGACAGAACGUUAGUAGUGCCAACAUGAAGGAAGUGGAAGAGAAGAAUACUUUAUAUAUAUAAUAUAGAUAAAGAUAUAGAGUAUAAAUUGACAUGAAUUAAACGAGUUAAAUUAGAAAAGAUAAGACGUUAUUUAGAGUUUAAUGUUAUUCGUUUGUAAAUAUUUAAUUAGGAUAGAAGUUAGCUUAGUAUCCAUGUGACAAAGUAGCGAGCUAAAGCAUAUAGGUCGUGGAACAUUUUCGGGUAAUACAUCGUACAGCGAGUAGCUACAUUUUGAACAAGCAAAGAAGAUGUGGUCCAAGUUGCCCUCAUCCAACCCACAUUCACACAUUGAAUUCGCACGGACACCAAUCAUAGCCAGAAAUAACGGGGUACAUACUUUGCCUAAGCGUAAGCGACAAAUGGUGGAUAUUACCCAUUUCGGAGAAGUACGGAAUCGAUAGAACCACGGUUUUCGAGUAAUUCGAGGUUGUAUACAGCCAUAAUGUUUACCGGUCUCUAAUCUAGAGGUAUCCCAUUGUUCCUGCCAUGAAUCAAACAUAUCAGAUAGUGCACAACUCAACAGGUCAGUACUGUAAAUUUCCUGUUUUAUUGAUCCAAUCUCAAUCGCCUGUUUUGCCCAUAUAUCAGCCAUCUCAUUACCUCUAAUACCACAGUGGCUUGGAACCCAUCCGAGAACAAUAUGUAGGCCCCUCAGUUCACACCUACGUAGCACAGCCUUAAUUUCAAGGAUCAAUGGAAAUUUUGCUUUAAAUUUGAAUUGAUUGCCUACAAUUGCCUGCAGGCAACUCCUGCUGUCAGAGAAGAUAAUUGUUUUUUUAAUGUUAUGUGUGUCUGCAUAUUUUACCGCCUCAAGAAUAGCAACUGCCUCACCGGUGAAAAUGGAUGCUUGAGGAGGACAUUUAAAUGGGAGGGCAAUAUUGUACCGAGGAAUCCACACCGCUGCUCCCACGCAUCUUGUAGGAUCCACCUUAGAUGCAUCAGUAAAAACCGUGACCUCCAGUGCCAGUGCUCGCAAGCGUGGAAGCAGCAAGUGGUUGUUAUAAGAGCUGGCUUUAAUCAAGAACCUGUCGGCGAGGUAUUGUCUGCGUAGAGAUAACGGCGGUUCAACACCUUCCACCUGCAUGCCAUUUUUGGGAGAAGGAAGCAUAGCACCUAGUAUGAUCCUUAAACAUUUAGCCUGUAUAAGGUCUAAUUUAUCUAGGCCAUCCUUAUUACAGGGUUCCAUUAAAAAUGACCCAUAGUCCAUAUGGCUGCGUAUGAUGGCAUUAUAUAGUAGCUUCUGGCAAUAAGGAUGGGAGCCCCACCAGACACCUGACAACGCUCGCAGAAUAUUAAUAUUUUUCUCACAUUUACCCAGUACAUAUUUGUGGUGUGAGGUGCCAGACAUUUUGUGGUCUAAUAUAACACCUAGAAAUUUUACUGACUCUUUACUUGGAAUCACAACACCACCAUAACGGACAUCUGCGGCAGGCAUGAUCCUUCUGCGACUGAAAGUCACUACACAACUUUUUGUUGGUGAUAGGGUCAAACCAUGUUCAUCAAGCCAAUCCUUGAGGUAACCCAAAGCUGUAUUUAGACUAGCAGUGGCUUUGUCCAUUGACUUUGCUGAGGUGUAUAAGACUAGAUCAUCAGCAUACUGCAAGAUAUUACAGAAGGAUAGGACAGAUUGCUCCAAGUCGUAGGUGUAGAUACUGUAAAGUAGGGGGCUGAGCACCGAUCCUUGCGGAAGACCACGCCACAAAGUUCGAGGAGGGUAAUAAGAAUUACCAUUCCUAAUUUUAAUUGACCUACCCAUGAACAAUUUGGUGACAAUAUGUACAAUCUUCGCGGGAAUGCUCAGAUGUAGCAUUUUUGCCCUGAGCACCGGAAGAAGGACAUUGUCGUAGGCCGCAGAGAUAUCUAGAAAACAUCCCAGCAGAUAUUCGUUUUUUGAAA